UAAUACAUGCAAGUCGAGCGGACAGAUGGGAGCUUGCUCCCUGAUGUUAGCGGCGGACGGGUGAGUAACACGUGGGUAACCUGCCUGUAAGACUGGGAUAACUCCGGGAAACCGGGGCUAAUACCGGAUGGUUGUUUGAACCGCAUGGUUCAAACAUAAAAGGUGGCUUCGGCUACCACUUACAGAUGGACCCGCGGCGCAUUAGCUAGUUGGUGAGGUAACGGCUCACCAAGGCAACGAUGCGUAGCCGACCUGAGAGGGUGAUCGGCCACACUGGGACUGAGACACGGCCCAGACUCCUACGGGAGGCAGCAGUAGGGAAUCUUCCGCAAUGGACGAAAGUCUGACGGAGCAACGCCGCGUGAGUGAUGAAGGUUUUCGGAUCGUAAAGCUCUGUUGUUAGGGAAGAACAAGUACCGUUCGAAUAGGGCGGUACCUUGACGGUACCUAACCAGAAAGCCACGGCUAACUACGUGCCAGCAGCCGCGGUAAUACGUAGGUGGCAAGCGUUGUCCGGAAUUAUUGGGCGUAAAGGGCUCGCAGGCGGUUUCUUAAGUCUGAUGUGAAAGCCCCCGGCUCAACCGGGGAGGGUCAUUGGAAACUGGGGAACUUGAGUGCAGAAGAGGAGAGUGGAAUUCCACGUGUAGCGGUGAAAUGCGUAGAGAUGUGGAGGAACACCAGUGGCGAAAGGCGACUCUCUGGUCUGUAACUGACGCUGAGGAGCGAAAGCGUGGGGAGCGAACAGGAUUAGAUACCCUGGUAGUCCACGCGUAAACGAUGAGUGCUAGUGUUAGGGGGUU
rnacentral:rRNA from 1 species